rnacentral:rRNA from 1 species
GACAGAGGGUGCAAACGUUUGUUCGGAAUUACUGGGCGUAAAGCGCGUGUAGGCGGCUCGGAAAGUCGGAUGUGAAAGCCCUGGGCUUAACCUAGGAAGUGCAUUCGAAACUCCCGAGCUUGAGUUCUGGAGAGGAAGGCGGAAUUCUCGGUGUAGAGGUGAAAUUCGUAGAUAUCGAGAGGAACACCGGUGGCGAAGGCGGCCUUCU